rnacentral:rRNA from 1 species
GAUGAACGCUGGCGGCGUGCCUAAUACAUGCAAGUCGAGCGAACAGAUGAGGAGCUUGCUCCUCUGACGUUAGCGGCGGACGGGUGAGUAACACGUGGAUAACCUACCUAUAAGACUGGGAUAACUUCGGGAAACCGGAGCUAAUACCGGAGAAUAUAUUGAACCGCAUGGUGCAAUAGUGAAAGACGGUUUUGCUGUCACUUAUAGAUGGAUCCGCGCCGCAUUAGCUAGUUGGUAAGGUAACGGCUUACCAAGGCAACGAUGCGUAGCCGAGCUGAGAGGGUGAUCGGCCACACUGGAACUGAGACACGGUCCAGACUCCUACGGGAGGCAGCAGUAGGGAAUCUUCCGCAAUGGGCGAAAGCCUGACGGAGCCACGCCGCGUGAGUGAUGAAGGUCUUCGGAUCGUAAAACUCUGUUAUUAGGGAAGAACAACUGUGUAAGUAACUAUGCACGUCUUGACGGUACCUAAUCAGAAAGCCACGGCUAACUACGUG